rnacentral:rRNA from 1 species
UACGGAGGGGGCUAGCGUUGUUCGGAAUUACUGGGCGUAAAGCGCGCGUAGGCGGAUCUGUAAGUUGGGGGUGAAAUCCCGAGGCUCGACCUCGGAACUGCCUUCGAUACUGCAGAUCUCGAGUCCGAGAGAGGUGAGUGGAAUUCCUAGUGUAGAGGUGAAAUUCGUAGAUAUUAGGAAGAACACCAGUGGCGAAGGCGGCUCACUGGCUCGGUACUGACGUUGAGGCGCGAAAGCGUGGGGAGCAAACAGG